rnacentral:rRNA from 1 species
GACGAACGCUGGCGGCGUGCUUAACACAUGCAAGUCGAACGAUGAAGCCCAGCUUGCUGGGUGGAAGAGUGGCGAACGGGUGAGUAACACGUGAGUAACCUGCCCUUCACUCUGGGAUAAGCGCUGGAAACGGUGUCUAAUACUGGAUACGACCCUUACAGGCAUCUGUUGGGGGUGGAAAGAUUUAUCGGUGAAGGAUGGGCUCGCGGCCUAUCAGGUAGUUGGUGAGGUAACGGCUCACCAAGCCGACGACGGGUAGCCGGCCUGAGAGGGUAACCGGCCACACUGGGACUGAGACACGGCCCAGACUCCUACGGGAGGCGGCAGUGGGGAAUAUUGCACAAUGGGCGAAAGCCUGAUGCAGCAACGCCGCGUGAGGGAUGACGGCCUUCGGGUUGAAAACCUCUUUUAGUAGGGAAGAAGCGUAAGUGACGGUACCUGCAGAAAAAGCACCGGCUAACUACGUGCCAGCCGCCGCGGUAAGAC